CAAUAGCGUAUAUUAAAGUUGUUGCAGUUAAAAAGCUCGUAGUUGGAUUUCUGAUCGAGACAUCAGGUCGGGUCCGAGAGGAUCAUGUACUUUGAUUUUGUUUUGAUCAUCCUUGGGGAGAGCAUUUCUGGCAUUCAGUUGUCGGGAUUGGGAUCCUCAUCGUUUACUGUGAAAAAAUUAGAGUGUUCAAAGCAGGCCUCGGCCUCUGAAUACAUUAGCAUGGAAUAAUAAGAUAGGACUUUGGUGGUCUAUUUUGUUGGCUUGCACGCCAAAGUAAUGAUUAAUAGGGAUAGUUGGGGGUAUUCGUAUUCAAUUGUCAGAGGUGAAAUUCUUGGAUUUAUGGAAGACGAACUACUGCGAAAGCAUUUACCAAGGAUGGUUUCAUUAA
rnacentral:rRNA from 1 species